rnacentral:tRNA from 1 species
GGAUAUAGCUCAGUGGUAGAGUGCAUGCCUAGCAUGCACGAGGUCUGGGUUCAAUCCCCAGUACCUCCA